UUGAAAGGGAAACGAUUGAAGUCAGUCGUACCGGCGGGUAAUCAGCCUUUUGAGCGUGAUUAUGUGGAGCGUGAGGAGUUAAACGCCUUCAUGCCUUCAUAUUCGUGCACUUUGGGUGUACUUGCUCGUGUGGUAGGUUAACAUCAAUUUCGAUCAUCAUAAAUUGGUUGGAGGAAUUGUAGCUUCGAUCUCGUAUUUGAGGUGUUAUAGCCUUAAGCAGAUGUGAUGAUUGGGAUUGAGGAUUGCAACGGAUACCGUUCGGGCUACCCGUCUGAUCUCUGAAGGUUACUCUGGUGCCGAAAGCUUGCUUACGGUAUCAAAGUUAACGUUCAACAGGUUAGAACGGGUUAAAUUCGUUAAGGAUGUUGACGUA
rnacentral:rRNA from 1 species